rnacentral:lncRNA from 1 species
GCAGAUAUCCAUCAAAACUAACAAGUUACAAAACUAAUUAAAUUCCCAGCUGCUUUUAGGCAAAUGAGUAGCAACAUUAAUUAGGAUGGCUUUUUCCCAUCUUCACUGGUCAGAGGGCACUGGCCUUUUGUUUUGCAUUCAGACUGCACUAUUUGAAACUCUCUCUGCUAUCUCAGGAGGAAAUCACUGUAAAUAAACACUUUCAGGGAAGGAGUCUGGAAGUGUCUGAUCUUAUGAGUAUGACAUGCCAUUAUUUAUGUUAGAACAGGGUUCAGAAUUUUGUAUGCCCAAAGGACCCUGGUCUCAGCAAUAAAUUUUUCUGUCUUUUCCCUCCCCUCCCCUCCCCGCACUGCUUCACUUUACCUGGUGCAUUAGCCGUGAGCACUCCUGGAGAAGGACCUUCCAGGCAGGUAGGCAUCAUGGGAGUUCGUGGUUGGUGCUCAGCUAUCCGGAAUGGGCAGUUGUACACUGGUUCCUAGAAGAAACCUUCAUGCUGUGCACUGAGGUCUGUACUUCCAGAUGUUUGGACAGAUGCUGUUGACCAAGCACAGUAACCAAGAAAAGCAUAUCUGAAUCCUUCAUGAGCACUGAAGUUCUUUUGGCUCUAUUCAAUUUCUUCUACCAUAAUGAUCUCAAUAGUAUUGAAAAGGCUUCUAAACAGAAACUAUUACGUUAACUAAAUUAUUACUUUGUGGUUAUUAAGGACACGAAUA